GAUUCUAUGGCAAUGCGGUUGGUGAUCUGCUUGGCACAGCUGGCUGGAAACCAGCCUGUUUCACCAUCCCUCAUCCUGUCUCCAUAGUACCAACCUGACACACAGACGAUGACCACUUCAGCCUGCUGGAGACUCAGCUCAUCGGGCUCUUUGGGCAUAUAGGCUUUGGUGGCCUCAUACUGAGGCAGAUCUGAAUUGUGCGCACACAAAUAAAAUGCAAGCAUUUGCCUGUCAGUAUAACUAAA